GACGAACGCUGGCGGCGUGCUUAACACAUGCAAGUCGAACGGUGAGGCCCUUCGGGGUACACGAGUGGCGAACGGGUGAGUAACACGUGGGUGAUCUGCCCUGCACUUCGGGAUAAGCCUGGGAAACUGGGUCUAAUACCGGAUAGGACCACUGCCUGCAUGGGUGGUGGUGGAAAGCUUUUGCGGUGUGGGAUGGGCCCGCGGCCUAUCAGCUUGUUGGUGAGGUGAUGGCCUACCAAGGCGACGACGGGUAGCCGGCCUGAGAGGGUGACCGGCCACACUGGGACUGAGAUACGGCCCAGACUCCUACGGGAGGCAGCAGUGGGGAAUAUUGCACAAUGGGCGCAAGCCUGAUGCAGCGACGCCGCGUGAGGGAUGACGGCCUUCGGGUUGUAAACCUCUUUCAGCACCGACGAAGCGCAAGUGACGGUAGGUGCAGAAGAAGGACCGGCCAACUACGUGCCAGCCGCCGCGGUAA
rnacentral:rRNA from 1 species